CGGGACGGGUGAGUAACGCGUGGGUAACCUGCCUUGUACUGGGGGACAGCAGUUAGAAAUGACUGCUAAUACCGCAUAAGCGCACAGUAUCGCAUGAUACAGUGUGAAAAACUCCGGUGGUACAGGAUGGACCCGCGUCUGAUUAGCUAGUUGGUAAGGUAACGGCUUACCAAGGCGACGAUCAGUAGCCGACCUGAGAGGGUGACCGGCCACAUUGGGACUGAGACACGGCCCAA
rnacentral:rRNA from 1 species